rnacentral:rRNA from 1 species
ACGAACCGUGCGAACGUUAUUCGGAAUCACUGGGCUUAAAGCGCGUGUAGGCGGGCCGCCACGUCGGCUGCUGAAAUCCCCCGGCUCAACCGGGGAAGUGGCACCGAUACGAGCGGCCUUGAGGGGGGUAGGGGGGUCUGGAACUUCCGGUGGAGCGGUGAAAUGCGUUGAGAUCGGAAGGAACGCCCGUGGCGAAAGCGAGGCCCUGGACCCUUUCUGACGCUGAGACGCGAAAGCCAGGGGAGCGAACGGGAUUAGAUACCCCGGUAGUCCUGGCCGUAAACGAUGGGCACUGGGUAGGGGGCUCGCCGAUGGGCUCCCUGCCGUAGGGAAACCGUGAAGUGCCCCGCCUGGGGAGUAUGGUCGCAAGGCUG